rnacentral:rRNA from 1 species
UACGAAGGGGGGCUAGCGUUGCUCGGAAUCACUGGGCGUAAAGCGCACGUAGGCGGUCUUUUAAGUCAGGGGUGAAAUCCUGGAGCUCAACUCCAGAACUGCCUUUGAUACUGGGAGACUUGAGUCCGGGAGAGGUGAGUGGAACUGCGAGUGUAGAGGUGAAAUUCGUAGAUAUUCGCAAGAACACCAGUGGCGAAGGCGGCUCACUGGCCCGGUACUGACGCUGAGGUGCGAAAGCGUGGGGAGCAAACAGG